UCGGUCCCUCAGGAGCUGCAGCUCGACACACCUGGCGCAGAUAUGGCCAUCCCGAAGGCCGGGAGACUCCAGGAACCCCCACAUCUGACACUGAGCACAGAAAACUGGCCUCACACACGUACUACCUACCUCGCCUCAUCCCGUUACCACCUAAGCCUGUUGAGCCCAAGCCCUGUCACUCUGCUGCCUCUCACUCCACUGCCCGCCGGAUACGGCGGUCUUCUUUUUAAACCUUUCAUGCUCUACUGGCUGAUGUCACAUGCCUGCGCAGUCUCGCCUCUCUUUAAACCAAGUAGUAAAAAACUCCCUUCGCUCCAAAAAAUCAGCAGUUCAUUCACAGUCUUCUUGGUCCAGAUUAAAAACCGUUGAAGAUUCCUUGCCUUUUUAAACCUUUCGCGCUCUACUGGCAGACGUUACAUGCCUGUGCAGUCUCAUCUCUCUUUAACACGACUAGUAAAAAAACUCCCUUUGCUUUGAAAAAUCAGCAAUUCACUCGCAGCUUUCUUGCUCCAAAUUCUUCUAUAUCUCUAUCAUUACCUAGUUUUUUGAACUGUUCGCAACCCCUUCUUUUUUUCUUGAUGAAUUUUAAAACAGCCUUUGUACACCACGGUUCCAGUACCCUACCAUCCUUUCCCUGUCUCAUUGGAACGUACCUAUGCAGAAUUCCACACAAAUAUCCUCUGAACAUUUGCCACAUUUCAUCUGUACUUUUCCCUGAGAACAUCUGUUUCCAAUUUAUGCUUUCUAGUUCCGGCCUGAUAGCCUCAAAUUUCCCCUUAUUCCAAUUAAACAUUUCCCUAACUUGUCUGUUCCUACCCCUCGCCACUGCUAUGGUAAAGGAGAUAGAAUUGUGAUCAUUAUCUCCAAAAUGCUCUCCCACUGAGAGACCUGACACCUGACCAGGUUCAUUUCCCAAUAUCAGAUCAAGUACAGCCUCUCCACUUUUAGGCUUGUCUACAUAUUGUGUCAAGAAACCUUCCUGCACACACUUAACAAACUCCACCCCAUCUAAACCCUUCGCUCUAGGGAGAUGCCGAUCGAUAUUUGGGAAAUUAAAAUCUCCCAUCACGACAACUCUGAUAUUAUUACACCUUUCGAGGAUCAGUUUCCCUAUCUGCUCCUCAAUGUCCCUGUUACUAUUAGGCGGCCUAUAAAAACACCCAGUAAAGUUAUUGACCACUUCCUUUUCCUAACCUCCACCCACAGAGACUCCAUGCACAAUCCCUCCAUAGCAUCCAUCCUUUCUGCCGCUGUGACACUAUCUCUGAUCAACAGUGCCACGCCCCCACCUCUUUUGCCUCCCUCCCUGUCCUUUCUAAAACAUCUAAAACCCAGCACUUGAAGUAACCAUUCCUGUCCCUGAGCCAUCCAAGUCUCUGUAAAGGCCACAACAUCAUAUCUCCAAGUACUGAUCCAUGCUCUAAGCUCAUCCACUUUGUUCAUAAUACCCCUUGCAUUAAAAUAGACACAUUUCAAACCAUCGGUCUGAGCACAUACGUUCUCUAUCACCUGCCUAUCCUCCUUUUUGCACUGUCUCCAAGCUUUCUCUAUUUGUGAGACAACCUCCUUUUACUCCUUCACUUCAGUUCGGUUUCCAUCCUCCAGUAAUUCUAGUUUAAACUCUCCUCAAGAGCCUUAGCAAAACUCCCCACCAGGAUAUUGGUCCCCCUGGGAUUCAAGUGCAAGCCGUCCUUUUUGUACAGGUCACACCUGCCUCAAAAGAGGUCCCAAUGAUCCAGAAAUCUGAAUCCCUGUCCCCUGCUCCAAUCCCUCAGCCACACAUUUAUCCUCCACCUCAUCCUAUUCCUAUACUCACCGUCACGUUGCACAGGCAGUAAUCCCGAGAUUACUAUCUUUGAGGUCCUGCUUCUCAACUUUCUUCCUACCUCCUUAUAAUCUGUUUUCAGGACCUCCUCCCUUUUCCUACCUACAUUGUUGGUACCAAUAUGUACUCCAACCUUUGGCUGUUGUCCUUCCCACGUCAAGGUAUUGCGGACACAAUCAGAAACAUCCUGGACCCUGGCACCUGGGCGGCAACCACCAUUCGCAUUCCUUUCCUGCGUCCACAGAAUCGCCUCUCUGCCCUCUUAACUAUAGAGUCACCUAUCACUACUGCCUUCCUCCUCCUUUCCCUACCCUUCUGUGCCAGAGGCAUGGCUACUGUUGCUUCCCCCAUGUAGGCCAUCUCUCCCAACAGUACUCAAACAGGAGUACUUAUUGUUAAGGGGACAGCAACUGGGGUACUGUCUAGCACCUGCUUCUUGCCCUUCCCUCUCCUGACUGUGACCCAAUUAUCUGUUUCCCCAGGCUCCGGAGUGACUACCUGCCUACGUCUCCUCUGUAUCAGCUCCUCACUCUGACUGACCAGAUGAAGGUCAUCGAGCUGCAUCUCCAUUUCCUCAACAUGGUCUCUAAGGAGCUGCAGUUCGACACACCCGGUGCAAAUGUGGCUGUUCAGGAGGCUGGGAAUCUCCUGGAUCUCCUACAACUGACACCGAGCACAGAAAUCUGGCCUCACACACAUACUUUCUGUCUGUAUUCUACACAGGCUCCGGAGUGACUACCUGCCUACGUCUCCUCUGUAUCAGCUCCUCACUCUGACUGACCAGAUGAAGGUCAUCGAGCUGCAUCUCCAUUUCCUCAACAUGGUCUCUAAGGAGCUGCAGUUCGACACACCCGGUGCAAAUGUGGCUGUUCAGGAGGCUGGGAAUCUCCUGGAUCUCCUACAACUGACACCGAGCACAGAAAUCUGGCCUCACACACAUACUUUCUGUCUGUAUUCUACACAGCGGAAUAAGCCACUUUUUGGGCUGAGAUCCUUCAUCGAGGCUAGAAAGGAAGGGUAGAAGCCAGAAGAAGAAGUCAAGGAAGAGAAGGAGUACAAGGUGACAGGCAGUGGACCCUUCCUUUCAAAACUUCCAGUGUCCGAUUCUGGGGAAUGCAAGGAGAAACCAGAGGGCUCCCAUACAGAGAUAAAGGAGGAAUUUCUUCAGCCCGAGGCUGGUGAAUCUGUGGAAUUCAUUAUUGAGGUAAUUAUGGUAAGACUUGGCAGUGUGGAGAAUCAGAGGGAUCUAGUGGUUCGAGUCCAUAGGACGCUCAAAGCAGCUGAGCAGGUUGACUAUGUGGUUAAGAAAGCAUACGGUGUAUUGGCCUUCCUCAAUCGUGGAAAUGAACUUAGGAGUUGAGAGGUAAUGUUGCAGCUAUAUAGGACCCUGGUCAGACACCACUUGGAGUACCAUGCUCAGUUCUGAUCACCUCACUACAGGAAGGAUGUGGAAACCAUAAAAAGGGUGCAGAGGAGAUUUACAAGGAUGUUGCCUGGAUUGUGGAGCAUGCCUUAUGAAAACAGGCUGAGUGAACUCGGCCUUUUCUCCUUGGAGCGACAGAGGAUGAGAGGUGACCUGAUCGAGGUGUAUAAGAUGAUGAGAAGCAUUGAUCGAUCGGUUGGUCAGAGGCUUUUUUUCCAGGGCAGAAAUGGCUAACACGAGAGGACAUAGCUUUAGGUGCUUGGAAGUAGGUACAGAAGGGAUGUCAGGGGUAGUAUUUUAUGCAAAGUGUGGUGAGUGCAUGGAAUAGGCUGCUGGCAACAGAAGUCUUUGAUGAGACUUUUGCAUAGGUACAUAGAAGUUAGAAAAAUAGAGGGCUAUGGGUAACCCUUGUAAUUUUGGCACAACUUUGUGGGCCGAAAGGUCUAUAUUGUGCUUUAGGUUUUCUAUGUCUCUAAAACUUUACCCCUCUUUCCUUAAACCUGUGACCUUGAAGCUGCAGACUCCUGAAUCUGGGGGAGAAAGAAUGCAACCAUUGACUACAGCCAAGCCCUAUCAUGAAGUUACUAUCAAACUCUGGAGGGUGACCAGCAGCAUUCCGGGGAAGAAAGCUCCAGCUUAGCCACUAACAUUAUCCACUAGCUUAUCCACAAUGCCGUGCCUCCAGCUGUCAUCAUUGUCUUACGCAGAGAGAUUGGAGAGCUUGGGCUUGUACACACUGGAAUUGAGGAGGUUGAGAGGGGAUCUGAUUGAAACGUUUAAGAUAAAUAAAGGAUUUGAUAGGAUUGAGGCAGGAAAUAUGUUCCAGAUGUUGGGAGAGUCCAGUACCAGAGGGCAUGGAUUGAGAAUAAGAGGUCAGUUAUUUAAAACAGAGUUGAGGAAGAGCUUCUUCUCCCAGAGAGUUGUGGAGGUGUGGAAUGCACUGCCUCGGAAGAUGGUGGAGGUCAAUUCUCUGGAUGCUUUCAAGAAGGAGCUAGAUAGAUAUCUAAUGGAUAGGGGAAUCAAGGGAUAUGGGGACAAGGCAGGGACUGGGUAUUGAUAGUGAAUGAUCAGCCAUGAUCUCAGAAUGGCGGUGCAGACUCGAGGGGCCGAAUGGUCUACUUCUGCACCUAUUGUCUAUUGUUUAUUGAAAUUCCCUCCAGAGUCCUCUUCCUCAGUCCUCCCUCUCUUUUCACUCUAUCACCUACCCAUCAGUCACAGCUUUCUGUCAACUGACACUCGUGGCUUGAUGUCAGCCACGCUCCAAGGAGAAAAGGCCGAGUUCCCUCAGCCUGUUUUCAUAAGGCAUGCGCCACAAUCCAGGCAACAUCCUUGUAAAUUCAUUUCCACGGAUGCUGCCCAACCUGCUGAGUUCCUCCAGCGUGUUGAACGAACUGCUGAGUGAUUGCUCCGCAGUCGGUAGCGAAAAGCUCGCUGGGCCGAGUACUCUGUCACAGUGAGGUAGUCCUUCUGAACUGUGCUCCCAAUGCAGGCUGAACUCAGCACGUCAGACAGCAUCUAUUGAAAUGAAUAAACAGCCGACAUUUCAGGUGGAGACUCUUCAUCAUUCUAA